GAAGAUGUUCUCCGGAUUCACAACUGCCUGCCUCUUCGCAAUCUGCCCUACAAGUCGGUCUCCGUUCUUCAUGUAUGCAACGACCGAAGGCGUCGUUCUCUGACCCUCAGCAUUAGUAGCAAUUGUCGGCUUCCCACCUUCCAUCGCUGCCACUACUGAAUUCGUCGUCCCAAGGA